rnacentral:rRNA from 1 species
UACGUAGGGUGCAAGCGUUGUCCGGAAUUAUUGGGCGUAAAGAGCUCGUAGGCGGUUUGUCGCGUCUGCUGUGAAAACCCGAGGCUCAACCUCGGGCCUGCAGUGGGUACGGGCAGACUAGAGUGCGGUAGGGGAGAUUGGAAUUCCUGGUGUAGCGGUGGAAUGCGCAGAUAUCAGGAAGAACACCCGUGGCUAAGGCGGUUCUCUGGGCAUUACCUGACGCUGAGGCGCGAAGGCGUGGGGAGCGAACGGG